ensembl:lncRNA
UCUGUGCUUCCAAUGCAAGGGACUCGGGGUAGAUCCUUGGUCGGGGAGCUUAAGAUCCCACAUGCCACAGAACUUUUUUUUGGUGUGCCCCACCCCUCCACCCUGCCAAAAAAAAAAAAAUCUUGACCAGCACCAGAAGCUGGGAAGCAUCUAUAGAGAACACAUGAGUUUGUUUAUAUACAAUUUCACAAGAGCUCUUAUUGUUUUCCAUCUAAAUUUGCUCAAACCAAUGCUACAGAGUUACAUUAGAGAACAGUGUGAACUGGAGCUUGCUUUCACAAAAACAAAAAUGUCUGUCUCAAACUCCUAAUGGGGAAAUUUAUGAAUCAGCUUAACUUUUACAAAAACUGCUUCAUUCUUAUUUCAUCCAGAUUUGUUUGAAUAUACUUUUGAGAUAUUUCUAAUUGGAGUUUCUUUUAAUAAAAAUUGUUUUUUAACCUCUAGGUUUGUUCAAAAUACUGCUGGUGUCUUGAAAUCUUUUAAAUCUGACCUUAUUUUUGUUAAGACUAUUGUUUCAGCUAGAUUUUUUCAAGUAACUCAUCUUGGGAAAUUUGAUGAACUCUAGAAAAUUUUAAGAAAAACUUGGGAAUUUAAGCUUCUCACCAAAACUGAAGGGCAUGCACUGGUAGCAGGCAUGUUUUGCCUCCCUCCACAAGGUUAAGGCUGAGGCAAAACCACAUGGAACGUAUUCUAGGCCUCUGCCAAUAAUGCCAUGUGGUACAAUUCCAAGAGGCAACAAUCACUUUGUAGGACAGGGAUUGGGACAAACCUCAUCCAUGGACUGUUUUUAUACAGUUAGCCAAGAAUGGAUUUUACACGUUUAAAGAGUUGCUCAAAAGAAAAAAGGUGUAUAUGACAGAUCAUAUAGGGCCUGCUGCUGCUACUGCUGCUAAGUCGCUUCAGUCAUGUCCGACUCUGUGCAUCCCCAUAGAUGGCAGCCCACCAGGCUCCUUCACCCAUGGGAUUUUCCAGGCUAAGAGUACUGGAGUGGGUUGCCAUUGCCUUCUCUGCAUAUAGGGCCUACAAAGUUUAAAAUAUCUACCAUCUAGCUCCAGACAGAAAAAGCUUUGACAACACUGUUCAAUGGUUACUACUUCUAGACUGGAAAACGCAAAGAUGCCUCUUGGAAAUGGGCAACACAAUGGCUCUACCUUCAGCCCAAAGAUGCUAAACUGGCCAAAUUUAGCACAGGGCAGCCUUGUCUAAAGAGAUGUACUCUUCAGCCUUCUCUUACCCUCUUCUCCCUGGUUCUGCUACCUCUGUGGCCACACGUCUCCCUGGCUUCCCUUUCACCUACCACUCCCAUCUUGAGAGUUCAGUCAUUAGCUCUCUCCUCCUCUAUGCUCCCCAUCCCAGAAAUAUAAGUACUACUAAGUACAGUGGUUAAAAACUACGAUCACAGAGUCAAGGUGCCUCAUUGUGCAUCUAUCUACCCCAUUUCCUGGUUAUGUGAUCUCCAACAAAUCACUUAAUGUCAGUAUCCGAACUAUAAAAUAGGGUUAUCAAUGGACUGUAAACUAUUUUCUUUGAAUCACUGUUUUGGAGUCCCUUGGUUACAGCAGCCUUAGCCUAUAGUCUGAUUAAUAUACACUGCAAACACUUAAAUCUCCAACUGCCUUGCUUAUGUCCCAAAGGUACUUCAAAUUCAACAUUUAUAAAACCAACCUCAUUAUAAAGCCCACUCUGCAUCCCUACUCUUGUAUUUCUGAACACAAAGACUAAAUUGAUAACAGGCCCAUUACAUUUAUCCUCACACAGAUUUAGACUAACUCUUCCAUUUCUCUGCCUUGUGACCCACCACCCAACCACCUGAAAUGUUCAUUACUAUUGCCUCCAUUAUGCUGUCCCUGCC